UACGUAGGGACCAAGCGUUGUUCGGAUUUACUGGGCGUAAAGGGCGCGUAGGCGGCGCGGUAAGUCCGCUCUGAAAGUCCAGGGCUCAACCCUGGAAAGCGGGUGGAUACUGCCGGGCUAGAAUCCGGAAGAGGCGAGUGGAAUUCCCGGUGUAGCGGUGAAAUGCGCAGAUAUCGGGAGGAACACCUAUGGCGAAGGCAGCUCGCUGGGACGUUACUGACGCUGAGACGCGAAAGCGUGGGGAGCAAACAGG
rnacentral:rRNA from 1 species